GACCUCCUCCCCUCAGGAAAAGUGCUGCUGCUGGAGGGCGAAGGGGCCCCAGGGCCUCGUCAGGGCCUGGCAACUGCUUCUGCCCCUCUCUCCACCGCCCUCGCCAUCCCGCCCGGCCUCUCUCCCCUUCUCCUUGUUUUCUCCGCAGGCGCUCAUUCAGGCUCCCUCCUUCCUCAGCGCCGCAUGGCUCCUUCUUCUUCCUUCCACAGAAGUUUUGAGGUAUCCGACCCGCGCGCGAGACGGGAAGGUGUGCGCGCGCCUGCGUUUGUGUCUGUGUGCUCCUCGCGCACAAGCACGCGCCCCUACCCGUCCGCCCAAAGAGGGGCUUUCGCUGCUUGCUUGCUCGCUCCCUCUCUCCCGGCUGCUGUUCCGCGGAGUCUGAGAGAGUGGCGAAAGGCACGCCCCCCCCCCCCACAGCGCGUCGCAGCCAAUCCCAAGCCAGGAGCGCCUCUUUGGAAUCUCGAGGCGGGAGGCGCGCGAGCCGCUGCUCUCUUUCUCUCUCCCCCCUUCUCUGAACUUCCAGACAGCAGGUAACUAUGCAAAAGGACAACCCCAGUCCAACACAUCUAAAUCAGUGCCACACCUUCACACUUUUGAACCCUUCUCCUUCUGAUAGUGUCUGAGAAAAAUAUCUACAUGAAGAAUUGGAGAUGGAAUGAGAGGGUGAAGAGGAAGAGCUCCAACACACAUUUGCUGGUUUUUUUCCAGUUAAGUCCAGAAAUGUCAUACCCACCUUUGGCUUCUGAACCUGAUCCAGAAAUGAACUAUGACCUGGAUGAAGCUUAUUCUGACUUUUUACCUAGUCCACAGAGCUCUUUCCAAUUACAGCUGCCGGCUGUUGAUAGCUCGGCUGAUUCCUUAAUUGGGAGAGAAAGUGAAAAUAUUACUCCCAUGGCGGAACCAGAUGUUCUUAGUUCCCCAAAGAAUGUGUCCUUCAACAGAAGGGAGUUUCUGCAUCACCAGAGAUCUGAGAAACAAGAACUCCGCAGGAGUAACCGCUUGGCAUCUCGAGGGGAUAAUGGAUAGAAGGCUUUCCCUUGGGAACCUUUAGGGAGUUUGGCUUUCCUUGUUUGUGAUCAAAUCUAAGUUCCAUAAAAGUGCUUUGCACCAUGGACAUUUCGCGGUGUCAACAUUUCUAUUUCCUGAGAAAGGUUCACCAACUCUAGCUCCUGUUUCUUCCAAGCCAAGUUUCCAGAUCCUGGCGGCCAAGCCGAGCCGCGACUCCCAAGUAGACCCGGAUUAAGUCUACUUCCUUGCCUGAACCAAGUUUUGCCUCAGCUUCAUCGCGUUCCUGCCUUGUUAUCAAAGUUUUCCUAGUGACUUUGGACUUUGUUAUUCAGUCUUGCUUCCUUGUUUUUUCCCCGCUCAAGAACUUUCCAACAGUUUUGAGUGUGUUUCGGUUUCUGGACUUUGGACAAUAAUAUUGACAUAUCCCUUCAAUUCUUUGGACUAAUUCCUACCUUUUCAUAAAAGACUAUUACCUGCUCAACCUUUCCACCUAUUCAUUCCUGGAUUUAUAACUGUUUUAAUAAAGG
rnacentral:lncRNA from 1 species